AUGAUAGACGGUGGCUGCCAUGUGUUUUGCUGCAACCAAGAAUCAUUUUUCUACAACCAGCCAAAGCAGAGCUGGAACCGGCGAGAUUUUUUGUUUGCACGCAUCCGCGGCAGUGCAUUUUUUUGCUGGAACUGUGAUAAUUUUUUGCUGGAACUGUUUUUGGUUUUUGCUACCACAAGAGAAAUCCCCUUUCCUAUCCGUGGGCUUUUUUUGCUGAAAUACGGUGGUGGAAGCCGACGUCGGCGGCGAGUAGAGACGGCAGCGGCGGGAGGUGGUGCAACCACGAUGCCAGUUCUUGGAACAAAGCGGAUGAAGAGAUGCAAACGACAGAAUCUCGAAUCUUCCUAG
rnacentral:rRNA from 1 species